GCCAGGAUAGUCUUGAUCUUCUGACCUCGUGAGCCGCCUGUCUCAGCCUCCCAAAGGGCUGGGAUUACAGGCGUGAGCCACCGCGCCCGGCCGAUUUACCACUCUUGAUGUUCACCACCUGGCUGAGUCUGGAAUCAUUUCUUCAUAAUGACAUUUUCUCCUUUUAUUGGAGAAUGUUAGAAACCAAGAUCAAGAGCUUGAUGUGCUUGUUGAUACUGGAGUGUCAUUGAUUCUUGGCCCUGUCAACUGACCAGAUCAAGGAACUACAUGUGUAUAAGCUAAGAAGACAGAGAGAUGUUUUCCACAUGGACCUUUGCUUGUCCCUUUUCAGCGCAACGGCCAUCUCCGAUUUUGCACUCCUGGUUUCCCACUCCAGUAAAUUUUUCUCUAUUCAGUGCCAAAAUUAUCUCUGGGACUUUUUGUUACAUAUUUCCCAAGGAGUUUUUGUCAUGCUGUAAAGAUCAGAC
rnacentral:lncRNA from 1 species